rnacentral:rRNA from 1 species
UACGUAGGGUGCAAGCGUUGUCCGGAAUUAUUGGGCGUAAAGAGCUCGUAGGCGGUCUGUCGCGUCUGGUGUGAAAACUCAGGGCUUAACCCUGAGCUUGCAUCGGGUACGGGCAGACUAGAGUGCGGUAGGGGAGACUGGAAUUCCUGGUGUAGCGGUGAAAUGCGCAGAUAUCGGGAAGAACACCCGUGGCGAAGGCGGCUCUCUGGGACGGUACUGACGCUGAGACGCGAAAGCGUGGGGAGCAAACAGG